rnacentral:rRNA from 1 species
GGUUCGAUCCUGGCUCAGAUUGGAACGCUGGCGGGAUGCUUUACAUGCAAGUCGAACGGCAGCACGGACUUCGGUCUGGUGGCGAGUGGCGAACGGGUGAGUAAUGUAUCGGAACGUGCCUAGUGAAGUGGGGAUAACUACGCGAAAGCGUAGCUAAUACUGCAUACGCCCUUCGGGGAAAGCGGGGACCUCGGGCCUCGCACUAUUAGAGCGGCCGAUAUCGGAUUAGCUAUUGGUGGGGUAACGGCUCACCACAAGGCGACGAUCCGUAGCUGGUUUGAGAGGACGACCAGCCACACUGGGAUCGACAUACGGCCCAGACUCCUACGGGAGGCAGCAGUGGGGAAUUUUUGGACAAUGGGGAAACCCCGAUCCAGCCAUCCUGGGCGUGUGCGAUGAGGGCCUUCGGGUUGUAAAGCACUUUUGGCAGGAGGUGGAAGAAACGGCACGAUAAUACCCCGUGCAACUGACGGUACCUGCAGAAUAAGCACCGGCUAACUACGUGCCAGCAGCCGCGGUAAUACGUAGGGUGCAAGCUAAUCGGAAUUACUGGGGCGUAAAGGCGCAGGCGGUUCGGAAAGAAAGAGGUGAAAUCCCAGAGCUUAACUUUGGAACUGCAUUUUUAACUACCGAGCUAGAGUGUGUCGUGAGGGAGGAAUUCCGCGUGUAGCAGUGAAAUGCGUAGAUAUGCGGAGGAACACCGAUGGCGAAGGCAGCCUCUGGGAUAACAAUUGACGUUCAUGCACGAAAGCGUGGGGAGCAAACAGAUUAGAUACCCUGGUAGUCCACGCCCUAAACGAUGUCAACUAGCUGCUGGGGCUUCGGGCCCGUAGCGCAGCUAACGCGUGAAGUUGACCGCCUGGGGAGUACGGUCGCAAGAUUGAAACCAAAGCAAUUGACGGGGACCCGCACAAGCGGUGGAUGAUGUAGAUUACCCUGAUGCUGCAACGCGAAAAACCUUACUCAUCUGACAUGUCUGGAAUCCCGAAGAGAUUUUGGGAGUGGCUCGCAAGAGAACCGGAACACAGGUGCUGCAUGGCUGUCGUCAGCUGUGUCGUGAGAUGUUGGGUUAAGUCCCUGCAACGAGUGCAACCCUUGUCAUUGCCGAAAGUGGGCACUCUAUCGAGAUCGUUGGUGACAAACUGGAGGAAGGUGGGAUGACGUCAAGUCCUCAUGGCCCUUAUGGGUAGGGCUUCACACGUCAUACAAUGGUCGGGACAGAGGGUCGCCAACCCGCGAGGGGGAGCCAAUCCCAGAAACCCGAUCGUAGUCCGAUCGCAGUCUGCAACUCGACUGCGUGAAGUCGGAAUCGCUAGUAAUCGCGGAUCAGCAUGUCGCGGUGAAUACGUUCCCGGGUCUUGUACACACCGCCCGUCACACCAUGGGGAGUGGGUUUUACCAGAAGUAGUUAGCCUAACCGUAAGGAGGCAUUACCACGGUAGGAUUCAUGACUGGGGUGAAGUCGUAACAAGGUAA